CGGAACGAAGUGGCCGAGGCGAGGAGUGUGUGCCUCUAGCCGAGUGCAAAGUACUCGGUGGUGACGAUUUUUGUGUGUGCGACGAGUGUGCUGCUUCGUUUCUGCGCCUUCGAAGAGAAGACGAAUAAUAUAAUUUUUGGCGCGCGACAUACGUCAAGGCGCCAAUAUAUGUUGUAGAAUAAACAAGCAAAAGCACGAAAUAUACUUUGGGGCGCUAGACAGAAAUAUACUUAGUAUCAAAUAAUAAGUUUUGUGUGUUUGUGUAUAUAUAUAUACAUAUGUAUAUGAGUUAAGUUGAUUUUUUUCCUUCUGUCACGGCUUGAUGAGUUGGACCUUUUCGCCGUCAUUGGUCGUCACCACGGUCGCCGCCGACAGCGAAAAUGCGCGUGUGGUCGCUUGUUGACACUGACAUGCAGUGACAGUUAACAUUUGUUUGAAAAGGCAGCAAAACGGAAAGAAACAAACAGCAAAAAGUGACAACACAAAAGCACUUGAAACAAAUGUGGCAACAGCAACAGCAAAAACAAAAAGAAACAACAACGCGCACACGCACACUCAACGCCUCGAGGCAUUAAAACAAUAGCGUGCUACGUGUUUGUGUGUGCGUCUGACAGUGAAGUGAGCAAACGCAUGUGUAAAUUGUUAUUGCAUAUGUUUAGGCGCAUAGCCCCGUGAGACGUUUAACAUAAUGCGAACGUGUUAGCACCAGUCUACUGCUUGCCCACACAAGCUGACUCAGCACAAGUGUGUACGUGUGCAAAUACGUAUGUGUUUGUGCGGUUGGCACAAAAGCACAAAAUAAUUAUAAAAACAAAUACAAAAAGACAAUGCGUACUGACUGACAUUUUCAAGUGUGUUGUCCAGAGGCAAUUGACGUAGGCCGCAGCGGUGUCAGCUAUUUGUUGGCCCAGCACCACUACACGCAUACGAGGCAGUGUCGUUUUAAAUGCGUUCGACGCGUUGGGCUUCACCUUUAUUGUGCUGUCAUAACAUAAUUUUAGGCGUUUCGCAUAAAGUACCCUUGCCGUGCGUUACAGCUGCAGCAGGUUGAAGAGCUGUUAUGAAAUGCGCGGCACUAAAUGGCGCAUACAAGUGUGGGUAAUGCUAUGCACAAUGCACACGCAUAACAUAUGAGCAAUUAAGGAGGAAAUUGAGUGAAGGUUAUUAUGUAAAAGUUCAUUCCAUCCACCGUGAACUUUUAAUAUGAAACAUAGCUUGCCAGAAAAUUUAUAUUGACCGAAUAAAUAAAAAAAAAUAUAAAUAAAUAAAUGUAACGUCGCCGGAAUACAUUUUGAAACGCUAGUUUUAGUUAAGCGGAAUCGUUCCCGUUCCCACGGCAGACGGGUCUACAUAACCGAAACGAAUUUUUCAUCCGGUCAAGGACUGUCAACUUGAAAGAAUUCUGCCUCUUCAACAACAGCAGUAACGAAGGAAACUUUAAUUCCUAAUUACUUCCUUUCACAGCUGAGUUAUAUUAAGGACAGCUGACAAGCUUUUAAAAAGUGUUUUUAUGGUAGCAAUAUUUUAAGAAAAAAAUACUAAUUUAGAAAAGAUGAACAAAAGUAAAUCUAUGGCGCCGCCCUCAAAUUAAUCCUCUUUAUGUUAACGUUUCUUCCAAACCUCGAAACAGUCAAUUUCCGAAAUAGUCGUCAAUACGCAUAGUGAUUCCAGUGUACUGGCUUCAAUUUCGUUUCGCCACAGCGGACGUUUGCGUUUGCUAAAUAGGCUGCAGUCACACGGAGCGAAUACGGUGGUUGCGGAACGAUUUGAAUGAAAAUUUAGAGAAAAACUUAAGAAGGAUCAAUGAAUUUCAUAAAAUCGCGGCAGUGCAUUUUCGUGGCGC